rnacentral:rRNA from 1 species
CGAGUCUGCCUUGAAGAUCGGAGUGCUUGCACUCUGUGAAACAAGAUACAGGCUAGCGGCGGACGGGUGAGUAACACGUGGGUAACCUGCCCAAGAGAUCGGGAUAACACCUGGAAACAGAUGCUAAUACCGGAUAACAACAGAUGAUGCCUAUCAACUGUUUAAAAGAUGGUUCUGCUAUCACUCUUGGAUGGACCUGCGGUGCAUUAGCUAGUUGGUAGGGUAACGGCCUACCAAGGGGAUGAUGCAUAGCCGAGUUGAGAGACUGAUCGGCCACAUUGGGACUGAGACACGGCCCAAACUCCUACGGGAGGCAGCAGUAGGGAAUCUUCCACAAUGGACGCAAGUCUGAUGGAGCAACGCCGCGUGAGUGAAGAAAGGUUUCCGCUCGUAAAGCUCUGUUGUUGGUGAA